AUGUAGCUCCAGCAGCAAUUGUGUAGCGAUGUCAUAAAAGAAAAGCCUGAGCUAAUCCAGAAAUGGACCCGAGGAUCCCCGAGUAUGGGGUAUCUCUGGAUGAAACUCAGGGGAGUCUAUAAAUUUUAAGUGGGGACAAAAAAAUCUUCACUUUGAUUAACCGGUAGCAGAAAUGCAGCAUUUUGUUCCAUAAGAGACACAGCCAUCAGACCAACGGAUUGUUCAUCACAUCUGUGACUUUGUCAGCUCAGGAAAUCGUGGGUAUUUUUAGACGAUAUUUCAUAACCUCAACUUGACAUUGUAUAUGUCCCUCACUGCCUCAAAACUACAAUAGUCAUUAGGACAACUGGCUAACUUGCUAUAUAAUGUAAUUGAGAGGUAUGUAUCCUAUGCCACUUAUUAAAGAAAAUCUAAGAACACAUUGUAUAGGCCUCUAAUGGCAUAAUUCAGAGGGACAUAUGCUCCUCCCCCACCACAGGGAGAAUGCUAUCGUAGAAAUUGUACUACCAUGUUUUCUUUGCAGGCUGAUAAUUUGCAUAUUUCUCAGGGUCUGUUCAAACAUGCCACCAGUGUGGCCAGCUGAUGGCAGUGACAGAGUUGUGCUAACCUGCUCCACCUUCCUCUCCCGAAGAAGCUGCUGGAAGUACUUCUCGAUGUGA
rnacentral:lncRNA from 1 species